rnacentral:lncRNA from 1 species
GCUAUGCGGAAAAAUAAUGAUUUUUAUUACUUUUCUUUAUUUCUAAUUAAUAAAAAUAUUUAUUAAUGUAGAUUCCCCCCAAAGAUGACGUAGUUGGUGCAUGGCCCUUAUAUGUCGAACAUGCACACAUCAUUAAUGAUAACAAAUUAUGUACACACUUGAUAUAAUUGCUUUUUAUUCAUUAGCCCUGUGCUAAUCAACUAUAUAGCCACUACAUACUACUCUAUAACCUACAGAAUGGCAAAUUACAAUUGAAUCGAGAUCAAGUAAAUGCGAUGUCUGUACUACACAAUUCUAACCGUUAUAUGUAGUACCCAAGGUCCCCAGCUAAAUAAUUUCCAGCCCUUAAUUAAAAUACUUUAAUUAGUUACUAUUGUCAAUUAUGUAAUGAUAGAAUAUCGAGAAUCUGAAUUUUAAUCCGCAAGAAAUUGAGAAGACAAAAAAUUAAAUUGCCAAAACUGCAGAUCCUUUUUCUCGCCAGAAAAAACGCAUGCAAUGUUUUUUUUGUUAAAACGUUCAUUCAGGAAUGCGAUUAUAUCCCUAACGUCGUAAAAUCUUCAUAGUGGAGACGGCGACGCCUAAUCCGCGAGAAAUUAUAUUGACAUACAUAAAAAAUAUUUUCACAUUAUAUCAAUAAUAGGCAUAGAAAUGUAGUCGCAUUCCUAAAUGUUUUGAUACGAAAAUAUGACACGGUUUUGGGAGCGAAAAGAAGCAUCCACGUUUUUGGUAAAGCAAUGAUCCAGUCGUUAAAAUUAAUCAGCAAAUUUUCAUAAGAUUUUUGCAUAUUGAUUUCGUCUCAAUAAAAAUUAUAGACAUUUUGAAAUUUUCAGUGUUUGCAGACCAAAUGUCGAUUAACUCUGUGUAAAUAAGGCAUUAAAAUCCAGUUUCCUUCUGAUUUUGUACUUCAUUUAGAUGACAAUAUAAAUGGACAUCACUUUCGCUUUCCCCAGGCCUUUUGAGGGCAGUGUAGGUUGACUGUUCAUUUUCUACUUGUUCAUAAAUGGCGUCAUCCCUGUCACGAUUAUCAUGAAUAUCUUGUGAAUUAUUUGUCCUCUCCGCGUUUGUCCUAGUGGUCUUACUGCUUGAUGAAUUUAGUCGACGAUUUUGAUAAACCAAGUAAGCAAUAACAACAAAUGAAAUGACGAACAAUAUUGCUAAUACUACAAUUCCAGCAAGAUUUUUUUCAGAACAGUCAUCGUUUUUGUUGGUACCUGAAAAUU